GAGGGUAUAGCUCAGCGGUAGAGUGCCUGCCUAGCACGCAUGAGGUCCUGGGUUCAAUCCCCAGUACCUCUA
rnacentral:tRNA from 1 species